AGUAACACGAAAUGACUAUGCCAUCACCUCUGUGUCCAUGCAUGGCUUUUUGGUUUUGUGGACAAACCACAGCCAGCAUUAUAGAUGGAGGGAGGGCAGAUGGCAUUAGUUAGCACCUACCAUCUACCAGCUGAUUUCCCUACACCAUCUUAUCAAAACCACCUGGUGUGCUAACGAGGGAAGUUAGGUGCUGCUGUUCUCAUUUUAUUGGGAGUCCACCCGAAUCCAGUCAGAGGUCUGCAGGGCCAGCCGGGCCAUGGCUACUCGGUGAUGGGAAGCCACCAGGUCUUUCUUCCCAUAGCUGUCAUUGACAGAUGCUUGCUGGCUCAUGUCCCUGACUGCUAUUUCUGUGGGCUCCUAAGACAGAACCAAGAUAGACACGUUGAGGCCUGACUGGACCAUGAAGCGAGAGGACAUUAAAAGGGGACCACCCAUCACAUCAGAGUCAGCAUGACUGGGCACUAAUGGUAAAGGUCCCCUUUAAGACUGAAGAUGAGCUUCAUUGAGACAGCUGAAAGAAAAAGAGAGAUCAUCACCCUGGACAUGAUGGGGACGGGGUUCCUCAGGAGGAUGAGAAAGAUUGAGCAUGAACAAAGGGGAUGAGCAAAGGAGAUGGUCUUGCUUUUACAAGCUUUCUGGGCCUGUGAACCAUGAUGCAACUGUGAGGCCAGCUUUACACAUGUGCCUGGAGUUAGGUCAGCAUUGGGACCUGAUCUGCAGCUAUUCCUGGAAGGCUUCUAUGGCUUAGAUGUGGGGUAAGUGCAUCUUCCCAAG